GACGAACGCUGGCGGCGUGCCUAAUACAUGCAAGUCGAACGCAGUGGGGACGGGUGAGUAACACGUGGGUAACCUCCCAUCAGAGGGGAUAACACUGGUAAACAGGUGCUAAACCGAUACUGAUGGAUGGACCCGCGGUGCAUUAGCUAGUGGGGGAGGUAACGGCUCACCAAGGCCACGAGGCAUAGCGAACCUAAGAGGGGCAUCGGCCAAACGGGGACUGAGACACGGCCCCGACGCAUAAGGGCGCAGGCAGGAGGGAAGCGGCGGCACUGGACGAAAGUCUGACCGAGCAACGCGGCGUGAGUGUAGAAGGUCUGCGGGUCGUAACACUCUGUUGUUAGAGAAGCGGUAUCUAACCAGAAAGCCACGGCUAACUACGUGCCAGCAGCCGCGGUAAUUC
rnacentral:rRNA from 1 species